CCCUCAUAGCCGUGGUCGCGUUCAUACGCUUCGGCUUCUUCGGCCAGUCGUUCGUUUUCCUUCUUCACGCAAUCGCCGCACACGUCAUAGAGGCGACCGGCCAGACCUUCCUCAAAAUCACGACGCGGGCGAAGAUCGGUCGCCUCGUUCUUGCACCAGUCGCAGCGGCCUUGUCGGGACUUCGCGGCCUCCGGCGAUCUGA
rnacentral:misc_RNA from 1 species